rnacentral:rRNA from 1 species
UGAAUACGAGACGCUAAGGCGUCGAAGUAGUGUAUAUCAGACUUCCAAGAAAAGCUUGCACUGUCAUAGAUAAAAAAUGCCUGUACCAUAACCGACACAGGUGGGUAGGUAGAGUAUACUAAGGGGCGCGAGAUAACUCUCUCUAAGGAACUCGGCAAAAUAACUCCGUAACUUCGGGAGAAGGAGUGCCUUAUUUAUAAGGUUGCAAUAACAAGAUCCAAGCAACUGUUUAUCAAAAACACAGGUCUCCGCUAAGUCGUAAGACGAUGUAUGGGGGCUGACGCCUGCCCAGUGCCAGAAGGUUAAAGAAGUUGGUUAGCAAUUGCGAAGCUGAUAACUGAAGCCCUGGUGAACGGCGGCCGUAACGAUAACGGUCCUAAGGUAGCGAAAUUCCUUGUCGGGUAAGUUCCGACCCGCACGAAAGGCGUAAUGAUUUGGAUACUGUCUCGGAGAGGGGCUCGGUGAAAUAGACUUGUCUGUGAAGAUGCGGACUACCUGCACCAGGACAGAAAGACCCUAUGAAGCUUUACUGUAACUUGAAAUUGAAAUUGGACUUUAUUCGCGCAGCAUAGGUGGGAGGCGUUGAUUAUAAUCUUGCGGGAUUAUUGGAGCCAUCAGUGAGAUACCACUCUUGUAAUGUUAGAUUUCUAACUUUGAAUCAUUAUCUGGUCAAAGAACAGUUUCAGGCGGGCAGUUUGACUGGGGCGGUCGCCUCCUAAAUGGUAACGGAGGCGUACAAAGGUUUCCUCUGAACGGUUAGAAAUCGUAUCUAGAGUGUAAAGGCAUAAGGAAGCUUGACUGUGAGACCUACAAGUCGAGCAGGGACGAAAGUCGGUCUUAGUGAUCUGACGGUACUGAGUGGAAAGGCCGUCACUCAACGGAUAAAAGUUACUCUAGGAUAACAGGCUGAUCUCCCCCAAGAGUUCACAUCGACGGGGAGGUUUGGCACCUCGAUGUCGGCUCAUCGCAUCCUGGGGCGGUAGUACGUCCCAAGGGUUGGGCUGUUCGCCCAUGAAAGCGGUACGCGAGCUGGGUUCAGAACGUCGUGAGACAGUUCGGUCCAUAUCCGGUGUAGGCGUUAGAAUAUUGAGAGGAGCCUUCUUUAGUACGAGAGGACCGAGAAGGACAUACCUCUGGUGUACCAGUUAUCGUGCCAACGGUAAACGCUGGGUAGCUAUGUAUGGAGUGGAUAACCGCUGAAAGCAUCUAAGUGGGAAGCCCACCUCAAGAUAAGUAUUCU